rnacentral:lncRNA from 1 species
AUGUAGCAAUGGGUUGCAAAGCAUGACAGAAAGGUCAUGACACACAGAAUCCCAGAGCUGACUGGGGAAGGUUCCAAACUGUUGAGGAGACUGUUGAACUCAUUUGGGGGUUUGCAACUGAGAUAGAAGCUCGAGGUUGCUGAUCUGUGCUCCUGUGGACAUCUCUGGAUCAUACUGCAAGCAGCCCUCUGGACAAUAGUGGAUAGGAGUGUCCCAAUUAUCCUUGGGUGGACUCGGGGAAAGAUUGGGAGCUCCAGUCAUUCUCUAGAUCAUCUAGGACUCCUCAUCUGGACCCCAGCCUCUACUUGCCAAAAGACUAUUUGAAACAGUGGACUUAAGAAAAUGACUAAUGAGAAAACCAAAGUUGAAUAGGAAAUGUUACAUUCAAACAAACUCAAGAGGAAUACAAAAAGGCAAUUCGCUAUCAAUAUAAAUUUUCAGAGCAGAUGCCUAUGUGCACUGAUAAAGAGAAUUCCCCUUAAUGUGAAAAGAGGAAACAGGAACUCAGGAUAUUGAUAUUGCUUUUUGAGUGGGGCACUCUAAGAAAGGAGAGAGAGGGAGAAAGAGAGGGUGCAAGAAAACAAAAGGAAGGAAGGAAGCAAGCAAGGAAGGAAGGAAGCAAGGAAGAAAGGGAAGGAAAGUAGGAAUUCUUGAAUCCUUGAAAUCUUGCCAACCCAUGUAUGUUCUAUUUCUAUGAUAAACAAUU